CGAAGAUUCUGAAAAGGAAAUUCUUUUGGUUACAAAUGGAGAGGGAAUAGAUUCCCAUGGCCUCACUUCCCUCCUCGAAGCUCUUGUUCGUGAUUCCCGUUUUAAUGUUCACGUCUGCGCUCCUCAAUCGGACAGAUCCGUAUCUGGUCACUCAGUGACGGUUAGGGAGACUCUUGCUGCUUGUUCUGUUGAUAUUAACGGCGUCACUGCUGCCUAUGAAGUUUCUGGGACACCCGCGGAUUGCGUUUCUUUAGCUUUAUCGGGG
rnacentral:misc_RNA from 1 species